rnacentral:lncRNA from 1 species
UAAAGGAGAUGCUUUCAAAAUAGUUCCAAAGAGUUAAUUUUCGUUGUCAUGGACUGGUUCUUUAGCUGGAGGAUUUGAGAGGCCGCUUUUAACCAAUAACUUCAUGAAAUCCGUCUUCUCUUUGAUAUUCACUUUUUCAUCAUCAGAAGACGAAAGAGGCAGUUUUUCUUUUGCAAGGUCGUCAAUUUGAUUUUUUAACAACAUAACAGAGUCGGAUAACGAUUUAAUUGCGCUAAGGACUUCACCAACUUCCUUGAUUUGGUCGGAUUGUAUACUCUGGUUUUCAUGAAUGGGCGUCUCCAAAGAAGUGUCUUCCUCGCUCUUGAGCUUGUCUGAUAUAUUCUCUAAAAAUUUAUGGUAGUCCGUAAAUUUCUUUUCGAAAAUGCCAAAACCACGUUUGACGCCAUUUAGGGUGUCAAUUAAAACACCACAUUGCUUGUGUAAAUCAUGGAACGGACUCAUAUCGGCCCGUAAAAUAGACAAUAUAUCGGAAUAAUCAUCGGGUGACUCUUCCAACGCUAAAGCAGUAGUUCGAAGUUUGAGUUUGAGCAUGUCUAGUUCAGACGUGGCUGUACUAAGUUGCAUUCGUAAAUUUACUAAUUGUUUAGCACCCGUAUUUCUCUGUUCAAGAGCCUUCAUUAAUUGCAACUGCAUGUUGCUGUUUUCUUCUUUGAGAUUAAAGUUUGAAAAUUCCAAAUUUGAGACCUUCUCCGCAGCUUCUUGAAUUUCCGAUCGUAAAGUAUCUUCAAUAUAUUUGCUGGCGUUGAUUAAUUUCUCCCGUUUCUCAAGCUUUGCAUUGGUUAUGCGAAUCUGAUCAUGUAAAAGCUCAAUUUCAUUGUUUUUAAAGUCUGAAGAGCCAUUCAACAACUUGUCGAGGGUCUCCUUUAAAUUUUGGUUUAUAUCCGCUGACACGGUUUCAUAAUUGGUGUGAUCAGCAGUUAACUUGUCGUAGAUAUUAGCGUUUGCAUCUAUUAUAGCCUGCUUUUUAACAAGUUCUGCCUUAAGCAAAGCCAUUUCGGUAACCAGUUCUGAGUUCUCCGUUUGUACUGACCUCAAAGACUCAUGUAAUGAAACAUUUAACAUAUCAGUAGCUUCCAUUUUACGGGUUAGAUCCUUUAUGGUAUUUUCAAAACCCAUUGACCGUUCCCGGAAUUGGUCUCUUUCAAAAGCAAACUUGUUAAUGGUUACCGUUUGGUCAACAAGUUGGUCUUCAAGGUUCGUGACUAAAAGCUCUCUAUCACGAUACAAUGACUCGAUUUCUUGCAACCUUUUCGAUAUAGCAUUGUGCCGUUCUCGUUCUUCCACUAAUUCCUUUUGGAAAGAACUGGUUUGAACUAUUAACUCUUUUUGGGAUGCAGUAGCAUCUUUUAAUUGCUUGUCUAAAUCUGAAGAAGUCUCACGCAUGACCUCAAGCGCUUUAUGCAAACUGAAAUUUUCUUGCAUGAUAUGAGCAUCGUUAGUUGAUUGAACAUUUUCUUUAUCAGGAGUGGAAAAUGUACCAUCUGACAACUUAUUGUGCUUUGCUAAAGGAACUUUCUCCAAAGCAGCUUCACAUAGUGCCGCAUUUUUUUCGGCGUUUGCAACUUUUAAUUUUUCUGUUAACGAAUCUAUUUUAGAAGCGGAAUCUCGAAGAAUCUCAUAAAGUUUACUCUUAAACCAUUCAACGAUUUGUUGCUUUGAAAGUUCUGAAUAUUUUUCAACAAGUGUUUCUAGAGUGACAGAAGUAAUCCGGCCAUCAAGACUUUUUCGUUCAUCAACAGUUUUAACACUCGAUUGUUCUGGAAAACGCACUUCUGACACCUCGGAUAUAGAGUUGAUAGAUCUAGUGGCCGCUUCUGAUUGUGCAUUGUUAGCAGACGCGACGGAACCGUUCCCUUGUUCCAUUGAGUGUGAUGAAGGAACAAAGGAUAAGGUAGGAGAGACUUCACCUUGUGCUUUUGCUUGAUUGGAAAGUUGUUGGCUAUUCAAAGAACUUUGAUCAUCAUCAUUCGUAUUACGACGAUCACUUGAGUGUGAAUUCAAGUUAUAACUAGGUUGUAAGAUGGAAGACGAAUUUGACCGAGUUGGCACAACAGGUGAAGGCAGAUCAUUGCUUGCUCGACCGGAUACUGGUGUAGAAAUGGUCUGAUGCCUAGUAUUAAAUCUUGAAUUCGAUGAGCCUAUAUAUUGCUGCCUAGAGGGAUGACUAGUAGAACGAACUUUCGACCCAUUAUAAGAUGGGAUACGGGAUGAAGUCAAAAGACCGUUAAAGGCACUGGGAUUUGUGUUACCAGUAGAGUUUGAGAAAAAAGAAGUAUUCCUUUGCCUACCAGAGGUGGUUGGUACCGAACCUAAUCGAAAACGCGAUGUAUCAAGCAUGUAUACGUUUGAAUCACUAGCACCUUUCCCUUGUUUCCCCCCAAUUAAUACUAAAGUUAAUCCACUACACGACAAAGUAUGUGAGGAUCUAGGUGAGGGAGUGAACGGAAGGUCUGAUAACUUAUACCAAUGCUUUGACGAUAGUCUAAAAGCGUACAAAUCAUUAAGGAAAGUACCAUCGGAAGCUCUUCCUCCAAAAACAUAAAGAAUGCCUUCCACAACAGAAGCUGCGUGACCGGCUCGAGGAUUAGGUGCAACCCCAAAAGUUUCAACUUUAGACCAAGCGCUCUGUUUAGGAUGGUAGCACCAAAGAUCAUUGAAGAAAUUAGCACCAUCAGUACCACCAAAAAUGUAUAGUUUAUCGGAAAAAGUAAAUGCUACGUGUCCAGCACGAGCUGGUGGAGGGUCAUUGACGACAGAGGCAAGUUCCCAUCUGGAAUCAGAAGUAUUCAAAUUGUUUAAAUCAAAACAAACAAGAUCAUUAAAGUAAUAGUCCAAGAGUCUGCCACCAAAUAGGCAAAUCUUUGAUCCAAGACAACUGAUAGUAUGACCGUAACGCCCACUAGGUCGGGCGCCCGAAGCGUU